rnacentral:lncRNA from 1 species
UUUAGAGUAAGAGAAAUUAUCCCCUAAGUCUUUGGAACAUAAUCAAACUUCCUCCUCUUUUAUGCUAUGUUUGGCCGCUGAAAUUUGAAUUGAAAAGGAAAAGUGUCUAAUUCCUCAUAAUCUUCAUUUCAAAAUUGAUUGGAUACAAAAUUGAAUAGGAAAGUGAAUGGGAAAAUAAAUAUUAUAUACUAAUAAAUAUGACAGAAUUACCCUGAAAAAUUCUAAAGCAAAAAAGUUGUUGCUUUUUAAAUCUAUUGAAUGUUAAUGUUUAUUAAUUUCCGCCAAGGUACAAAAUUUUCUAUUAAAAUAUGAUUCGACCGAACUAAAAAUAGCUACUAGCAAUAAAAUUUCAUAGUACCAAAAUGAUUGUAACGCUUCUGAUUCUUGAACGUCCUUCUCAAAAUUUCUCCAACCUCCAUGGUAGCAUCAACUUCAUAAUACCUUGUGCUCAAUACAAGAUCAUCCUCAAAUACCUUAUCAAUAUCAAGGAUAUCGUUCUCAGUAGGUACAAGAUCCUUAAUACCUCGUGCUUCCUUUCCAGUUGCACUUGAGUUGCCAAAAAUUGUGGCUAGCUCAUCAUAUCAUUCAAUUGGAACUCGAUUUAAACUCCUGCAUAUGCUGCAAUUCUGCAAAAUAGACAUGGAGGAAAACAAUUCAAUAAAACCACUCAUUCAAUCUCCCUGUCCACUACCAUAAAACCAUUUCAAAAUAGAAAUCAAAGAGAGUUGAAAUAGUUGGAACCAUUUCUGAUCCUUUAUUCCAGUCCAGUUUUCCUUGGAAUUUAGUUUUCCAAAUUGUAUCAACAAUCAAAGCCAAGCAUAGGUCUUCAGAUAUCAAAACUACUAACAAAUCAAAACAAAGUUAGUAAGAACAUAUAAGUUGUGCUCAACUAACAACAGUUACUCGACUAGGCAUACGUUCUUCUAAGAACACAUAAGUUUCUCAUACGCACAUCUCAGACUAGUCUGGAUGCAGCUCAACUGCUCAGUACCACUAACGAAAUGAUCUCCUACAGUUAUGGUUUAUCGAAUAAAUGCCACCUCUACCAAUACUUGAAACUAACACCUCAAAGAAAUAUAUGAAUGAAGACCCAUUUUCAUAAGGCAUUAGAAAACAGAGACGACACAUGAACAAGCAGAGAAUAACAAAUUAGAGACAAGCAUAACAGAUGGAAAAAGAUUGAACAAGCAAAACUGAACAGCCCUUGAAUAGCCCUCCCUACCGUUGAUUCUGCUAUGUUGAAUUGCUUCGACUCUCCAUCAUAGUUGGACCCCUGAAUGAGAAACAAAUUAACUAAGAUAACACAAAGCAAUGAAACAUCCAACUUAAAGCUAGCUGCCUACACACAAAACUUGAACAUUCCAACUUAAAGCUAGUUGCCUACUACAUUUCUUGUAUUGAAACCAUGAAAUAGGAUCAUAUGGGUUGAAAAUUAGAAACAAAGGUUUAAGAAGCCAAAUCAAAGGUGAAUACCCGGUAGUAGCCUCAUAGCAAGAUAGAGAAUUAUUAACAAUUCAUCCAAAUAUGACUUUAGCAAAUGACUUUAACAAAUCGUUGACAAACAAACAUUAACAUCACCUCUGGAAACCCUAACACAUAAAUUUCAACAUACAAGUAAUCAAUCAAACACAGUGAAGGCCAAGAAUUCAGUAAGAGCUGAGUAAUAUCCAAACCGAGACGACUCAAGGUGGCAGCAGGGUGGAGCCGAGUAAUACCUGAACUGAGACAACUCGAAGUGGCAGUAGGCUAAAGAUAUUCGAGAAGAGAUGACUGGAGAGAUGGCGGAAGAGAUGAUUGGAGAGAUGGAAAGAUCCUGAGAAACGAUGAGAAGAUUUUAAGAUGGAAAGACAGAGAGAGACCAGUGAAGACAGACACAAAAAAGUAUACCUGGCUGACCGAAGAACUGCGACAGCGAUGGGAGCUGCUAUGGUGGCUAUCGGAUUGAGCUCCAUGGGAGCUGGUGAUCAGAUAUUUAGGUCGGCGGAAUUAGAUCUCUCGUACAAACAGAUAAAAGAGUUAAUGGAAUUUAUUUAAAAUUAGACAAAUAAAGUGGCGGUGUUUUUAG